rnacentral:rRNA from 1 species
CCUAAUUAGUGGUCUUGUGCCGCGGGAACAGGUGAGGUGCGUGGUGUUUCCGUAGUUAUGGUGCGGAAAGUGCGCGUAGGCGGUGGCGUAAGUCGGGUGUGAAAACUCCAGGCUUAACGUGGAGACGCCACCCGAUACUGCUCUGACUUGAGUUCGGUAGGGGAGUGAGGAAUUCCUGUUGUAGCGGUGAAAUGCGCAGAUAUCAGGAGGAACACCGGUGGCGAAGGCGCCACUCUGGGCCGAAACUGACGCUGAGGAGCGAAAGCGUGGGUAGCAAACAGGAUUAGAUACCCGGGUAGUC